AACCAACAUGGCGAUGACUCAUAACCAAACACCUUUUCGGUCAUUAUUUAAAUAACAAUGAUAAGAGGUAAUCUAUAAGUCUCAACUAACACACAAUGAAUCAUAAUUAAAUCAUAACUAACCAGUCAUAAUCAAAACCAUAAAUGUCAAAUAACUGGGGUAUAUGAUAAAAAUCAGUGUGUAUCAUAAAAUUUUCAGUAUUUAAAAAUCAGUGUGUAUCAUAAAAAUCAGCGAUUCACCCUUUGGGCCAGGCCCACAAGCUCUGCCCAAAUUUGCCCGUGAAGAGGCCACUUUGCGUGGAUCCCAGAUUAGUCAGGUGCAGGUGCAGGGUGCGCGUAAGGUGAUCUGGACACAAGUUAUAAAAUAAAAUAAAAAACAUGUAUGGUUCAUUUCUGACCUAGGGUAUUCGCUGGCAAUCAAUCAUAGUCUAUGGCGACCCAUUCAGGCCAUUCAGUACAGUGUUGGAAGAUCACGGGCAGCAAUUUACAAACCAAAAGAUUGAAGAAGCAAUUGAACCUGUGUGAUUUUGCGAUAUUGGUUGACGUUAGUGGCGUCACUCCGGCGAAUUUGUUUUCACAUCCACCCAUCAUUGGCGUCUUUGAUUGUGUUGGUGAACGAUGGUGUUAGAUAUGUGGCCUCCAAUGUUUCAUUUCCCUAUUUUUAUGGUCCAUCCUCGUUGUGAUGGUUAAGUGUGUUUGGUUAAUAUUAGAGUAUGUGUCUGUAUGUAAUGGCUAUGUAGGGUUUUUUUUUUUUGGUAGACAUUGUUUGAUGUUAUUGGUUAGGUGGGUUUGUAAUUGCGUCGGGGGUACAGUCAUGUAAUGGCUAAUCUUUGUUUGUGCUAGUAUUUCUAGUAAUGUAACAUUGGGUAUGACAUUCUGUUGGUGUUUUUGGUGAUAUGUGUUUUCUGUUAUCAUAUAUUGACAUCAUUGCAAUGGUAGAGUCAUUUCAAUAUUAGUUGUCUUGUUUUGUUACAAUGACGCAAGGAGUUCCUUUUUUUUUACCAUUUGUAUAUAUGUUAGUAAUGAUGUGGAAUGGUUGGGAUGUCCAUGUUAGUUUAAGGGCAAUUUUAUGAUGAUGUAGAUCUUUAUGAUGUUCAAUGGCUGCCCGGGGAAAUGUGUGUUUACAUGCAGGUCGGACUGUGCGAUACUCGUUUGUUUCAUCAUCCGACAAUGCUUCCACUUCGUUGAAAUUGACAACACAAUGGAUGGAUUGACGCCAUCGAUUCUACACGCGGCAAUGGUGAGAAUGUUUUUAAAUGACCCGGAAAAAGGACUACGAGUUAGGAAAACAUGAUAUGUUAUGUCUGCUUCCCAACAUCGCCAUCCCCCAACAAGUUUGAAUUAGGUUUUAUGGUUUUUACUUUUUUUUUUCCAAUGAUUAAUUAGUUUUUGACGUGACUGAAUGUAAAGCAAGACAUUGUGUUAGGACAAUUUUUGUGCCUGCUUAAUUAGGCGAAUUGAUUGUUUAGGGUUUUGGCAUAUGACGUUAUGCGAUGGUGAACAAUUACAGCACAUCGCAAUUAAUAAAAAUAUUAUUUCCGGAAUGU